rnacentral:ncRNA from 2 species
CUUCACGAGAUGUGGCCCGCCUCCGCUAUAGCGGACGCGAUGCUCCGACAGGGCCACGCACCAACCCCAGCCUCACGGGUGGUUCGGAUGACGAAGCGGUCCGCUGUCAACCGGCGCGGGCAAGAGCGGCCC